rnacentral:rRNA from 1 species
CCUACGGGUGGCAGCAGUGGGGAAUAUUGCGCAAUGGGCGAAAGCCUGACGCAGCGACGCCGCGUGAGGGAUGAAGGUCUUCGGAUCGUAAACCUCUGUCAGCAGGGAAGAACGGUCACUGUGCUAAUCAGCAGUGAAUUGACGGUACCUGCAAAGGAAGCACCGGCUAACUCCGUGCCAGCAGCCGCGGUAAUACGGAGGGUGCGAGCGUUAAGCGGAAUUACUGGGCGUAAAGCGCGCGUAGGCGGUAUGUCAAGGCAAGGGUGACCUCCCCGCGCUCAACGUGGGAACUGCCUUUGAAACUGGCAACCUGGAGUGUGUGAGAGGCUAGUGGCAUUCCAGGUGUAGCCGUGACAUCCGUAGAUAUCUGGAGGAACAUCAGUGGCGAAGGCGACUCUCUGGCACAUACCUGACGCUGAGGAGCGAAAGCGUGGGUAGCAAACAGGAUUAGAUACCCUAGUAGUC